CCCCCCUGCACUGGAUCUGAAAGCUUGGUGGUCCCUCCAGGAGAGGCAAAAGGCAGCUCUUUGUCCCACCUAAGCCCUGGCAUUUCAACCUCAGAGUAAUAACAUCUCGGCCCACAAAUGCCUUGCACGAAUUCAGGAAGCUUUCCUUAGCUAGAGAGGACCAGGCACUCAGUGUGCUUAAGAGGAAAGCAAGCUUCGUUUGCCAAAUGAGGCCACAUCUGCUUCUGUUGGCAGUUGUAAGCAGUCGCUUGCCCUCCUCACUCCUCUGGGCGGACACUUGGGUCUCCAUUGUAGCCCUGAUGAGAUGGACAGGUGGCAGACCCUGGGGAAACCCUUCAGAAAGAACAGUGCUAUUGAUUUCCUUCUUAGAGAUGUUAGCCAGUGGGUUGCAGCAUGGCCGGGUGCUGCUGUUGGGGUGAAUUUAUGCAUUGUUGAGUCUUUCUUUGUGGGAAUUGAUUGCUGAUGGUGUAGAGUGGCUGACCAAUUCCCAGGCCCCCAUUUAAGCAGAGUUUGAACAGUGUCCCACAGCACUCUCCCUGCCUUCCUGACUGAACUGAGAGAACUCACCAGAAACCCUCUCUAGUUCUUCCUGGUGGUUUUGGUUUUUAUGAACGGAUUGCAUUACUGAGAUCAAUCUUGUCUUCAUGGCACUCAGAAAGAAGACUCAGAUGUCGAAGUGGACAGAGGCAACCUGCUCUGAGCCAGACUCUGCCACUGCAGUCAUGGCCAGACUACUGAUGGAGUGCCCAGGUUUUGCAAGGAGGAAAACCAGUUCCUGUCCUGGGUUCGAGGACCCCAAUUAAUUAGAACUCUGCCUCCCUGUUGUUUGGUCAGCUCAGAGGACCUGGUUUGACCUGGGGGAACACAGUAGGCCUGUCUGUCUCCCAAGCAGUUGGGUGCCCAAGCUGGAGUCCUUUCUCCAUGGCAAAGCACAGCUGGGAAACAGGGACAAUUAGCCAGCGGCUGGCAGCCUGGGUCAUAAAAACUCAGGAAGUGGCUACCACAGGGCUGAGGGAAUGGCUGUCCCUAAUAAAGUGAUUGUU
rnacentral:sRNA from 1 species